GCGGGCCGCUGCUCCUCACCGGGGCCGGGAGAAGACGCCCCCCGCACCCCCCACUACUUCGUCCUCUCAAUUCAAGUUGUCCGGGCCUCGCCGCCGCCGGGAUCCGGGGAUGGCACCAGCUGCCCGCUCAGCUCUGCGUCCUGUUUCCAGCCUCCAAGCAGAAAUUUAGGUCAAGGACGUCGAGAGCAAACCCACGCCCUGGCGCUCUUCGGGCGGCCCCCGACACCCCCCACCCCAGGAUCGGGAUGGACGGGGGACUUCAGAAUGGCGAAGAACCCCUCGCACGAACACCAGCCACAAGUUUUAUUUCGCCUUCGAGCUGCAAGUUCGGCGCUCGCUCCACACCGGCACGUCGUGCGCGGCUCCCCGCCCUUACCCUCGGAGGAUUAGGAGACAGUGGUAUACACUCAACACCAAACUGCACCAAAUCCGUCGUGGGUCCUAGAAACGUGGAACUUUGGAAAAUCUCAACACCAGCCAAAGCCCUGGAUGACCAGCCCCUCAACUUCCCUGUCCUUUAAACUGAGAUAAGACCUCCCUGACAGGAUGGCUGAGGGGGGGUGAAGUGUUAGAAGUGAACAAGUUUUACACUGCGAACUUACACGGAUCACUUUCAUUACCGAUCAUUACUUAAAAUGAUUCUUUAGAGAAGGCACUUGAAGGCUUUAAACCGCAAACCCAAGCACUUAAGGUCCCUCUGAGCUGCUUUUCACAUCAUUGGGGCGGGGGGGGGUCUUAUGUGUUGAAUAGCCAGUUGUUACAAUGAUAAUUGUUCUGGUUUUUCUCAGUAAUAACGUGCACACAACACAGCUAAUUGCACUGUUUUCAGAUUUUUACACCACCACAGGACCUUCUUAGUUCAUUGUACUUCAGGGUCUCAGAGGUGCCAAGUUUACAAGUUCUAUCUCCCCUAUCCCCACCCCAAGCCAAUUACUGGAAGGGGCUGGAGCCACCAGUCCAGUGCUGUUUUUUCUGCUGCCUGCGUGUUUGCUCUGGCCCUCAAAAGGUUGACAGUGGGUGCCCUUCUCCCUGGAAUAGGCCUACACAAGCCUACCCGUGGUGAGAUCAAUGAAACUCUGAGGACUGGCCCUGAGGUGACCGAGUCAGUGGCUGAGAGAGGCCUACAUUGAAGUCUGACAUGGCUAAAGUUUUUUUCAUUUAUUUUUAUUUUAUACUUAGUGACAUUACAGCCCUAGACUUCAUCUUGCUGUGUAAUUCUGCGUUUGGACAAAUGCACAGGAUCGUGUAACCACCACCAGGAGGAUCAAGAUGCAGAACAAUUUCACUGUCUCAAGAAAUGUCCUCUUGCUGUUCCUUCCACUAAGUUAUUUAUACUAGAUUAUUAUUAGUACCGUGUACUUGCCAGCUCACUCAGUGUAGUCCCUGCAUCAGGAGGAUCCCCCAGCAUAGUGGUAGACCUAUCUCUCUCAGUCUCAACACUGGUGGACAGGCCUGUCUGCAGACUGCUUUCCCCAGGGCGCCACACAUCUGGUUUCCUUCAUCCCUCACCAGCCCUUCCUCCUUUUGUCUCUAUUCUGUAUCUCUCCUCUUCUGUUCUGAAUUCAUCUCUCCUCUUCGGCCUCUCCUUUUCUCUUUCUUUUUUCUUUUUUUUUUUUUUUUUUUUUUUUUUUUUUUUUUUUUUUCAGUUUCCUGGAUCAAACUCCUCCGAACUUUGUGCUUGCAAGGCAGGCAACAGCACCACUGAGCUAAAUUGUCUUGAUCCCUCUUUUCUCCUCCAGGUACAAACCUUCCCUGGGUGUGAAUUUUGGUGUAAUGAGUUUAGCUUCUUUUUUUUUUUUGGUACCGGGGAUCAAACUCAGGACCUUGCGCUUGUGAGGCAGGCGACAGAGCCACUGAGCUAAAUUCCCGGCCCCUUGGAAUGGGUUUAAAUACCUCCUACAUACGGAUGCCACCCUAAAUCUCCAGCCCUGACCUUUCCAAAGAGUUCCAGACACAGCUCAGUUUCUUGUUCGGCAUCUCCAUGUAACUCCUAAAAGUUCUCCAAAUCCAAAUGUCCAAAACCACAUGCAUGCUCCCUUGCCUUAAAUCUGAAUCUCUUUUAGGGUUCCUCUGUCAGUUAACCAUCCCCCGUCAAAGGAGACAGCAAGAGCCAGGUGUGGUGGCGCAUGCCUGUAAUCCCAGCACUCAGGAGGCUGAGGCAGGAGGAUCACUGUGAGUUCGAGACCAGCCUGGGCUACACAGUGAGUUCUAGGUCAGUCUCAACUACAUAGUGAGACCCUGUCUCAAAAAACCAAAAAGGAGACAGCAAGGUUGAGCCCUCUCCCUCACCCUGCGAUGGCAAGACCAUGGGGAUGUCACCUCUUCAGCAUCCCUCCAGUCUAUCUUUCUGUGCUUCAUCCCAGAUCACCCAGCCCGAGGCCCUGCGGUAGCCUCCAAAACAGUCUUCCCACGUCUCAGUCCACUCACGUGCCUGGAGAGCUUUCCCAAAGCCUGGCCCUGGUCAGCCGCCCUCGAUACACACUGUUAACCUGCCAGAGUGUCCUCUGUGUACCUUGCCCUCUAUGAUCAUUGGCUUUAUUUCCCACCUUCCAAGCCGCAGGUUCCCAUCCACUGUUGCUCUCCCUGUGCCAGCACAGUGCCUGCUGGUGCGUGGGUGACCCCCGAUAAAUAAUUGCUGAGUGGAUGGAUGAAUGGAGGUCAGCAUCUAAUUUCAUUCUAGGAUUUUUUUUUUUUUUUGUAUCCAUGUUGGUGAGUCAAACUGGCUGCAAUUUCCCCUUUCACGGUGUUUUUAUUUGGUUCCACAGGCCUCCUAAAGUGAACUGGUAACAUGUUCCUUCUUUUUCAUUUUCCAGGACAGUGUGUGUUAGAUUGGAAUUAUGUGUUCCUUGAAUAUUUGGUAGCACUUGCCAAUAAAAUGUCUGAGUCUGGGAAAGCCAUUUCACAGGUUGAUUUUUAACUACUCAUUCUAUUUCCUUAAUAGUUAAGGAUCUCUUCAGCUUUUCUAUUUUCUUUUUUAGUCCAUUUUUGCCCACUAUAUUUUUCAAGCAAAUUAUCCACAGGAUCUAGUUUUUCAAAUAUACUGAUAAAGUCGGGCAUGGUGACACACACCUGUAAUCCCAGCACUCCGGAGGCUGAGGCAGGAGGAUCGCUGUGAGUUCAAGACCAGCCUGGGCUACAUAAUGAUUUCCACGUCAGUCUCAACUACAUAGUGAGACCCUGUCUCAAAAAAAAUCAAAUAUACUGACAAAAUGCAGUUCACAGUUGUUACUAUAUUUUGAUCUCUGAGGUCUUUAUCCACAAUGUCCCUUUUUUAAAUCCCAAAUA
ensembl:lincRNA